UACAGAGGAUGCAAGCGUUAUCCGGAAUGAUUGGGCGUAAAGCGUCUGUAGGUGGCUUUUUAAGUCCGCCGUCAAAUCCCAGGGCUCAACUCUGGACAGGCGGUGGAAACUACCAAGCUGGAGUACGGUAGGGGCAGAGGGAAUUUCCGGUGGAGCGGUGAAAUGCGUAGAGAUCGGAAAGAACACCAACGGCGAAAGCACACUGCUGGGCCGACACUGACACUGAGGCGCGACAGCGUGGGGAGCAAACAGG
rnacentral:rRNA from 1 species